UGCGGAAGGUCUCCACCUUGAACUUGCCACGAUUGUCUCCAGACUUGUUGGUGAGGACGGGCUCGUCGCAGCUCAGCUGUUGUUCCUGCUCGUAUACCAGCCAGACAUAGCGGUGGAGACCUGCAGGGGAGGAAAGUACCAGCCAGACAAAACAUGGGAUCCAAAGCGACCUGUGGAGACCCCUAUCAGAAAAUGCUGAGCUCCAGGGGAGCGACAGGGACAAGACCAUCUCUAAGAGCUUCAGGGUAACAAGAAAAGUCUCCAUCUUCCUGGGGUGUCCAAAUGUGUGUGCCUCAAAUUCUCUGCCUGAAACCUCUGACCCACCAGUUUCUCAGGCAAGCUCAACCUUCCAAACACCGGAGAGCUGCUGGGGUUUUAUUCUUCAACACAGAGCACAGCUCCGACUCCAGAGACUUGCUCUGCUCCCCAGUGUCUCUGGCAGCCUGUAAUUGAAUCACCUGCUUUUGUAGGUGCCCUGGAGAACCUUAAAGAGUCCCUGGGAAACUUAUCUAUUUUCUUAUGAAUACUGAGAGGCCUUUGAAGCAUCUGGAAGCUUCUGGGCCUACGAAUACAAGGUGAGCCAUGAGCAAUGGUCCUUGUCCUGACUGGACACUCAUUAUUCCAGUCACUUCUCUGCAGGACAAUGCACAGAAGUUGGCAUUCUGCCAAGUAUCACCCACCACCGAGGUGGCCUUGUUCCAGUGAAAAGGAACAGCAUAUAACAAGUGACCAGUAGUAACUGUGUCUCCCACCAGCUUCAGGGGUGCUUAUGAGACUUGGGGAGCAUUGUGGGACUUGACUCUCAUGUUCCAUGUCAAUACAAAACACAGAAAGAGUA